AUUGAUGACAUCAACAAUUUGACACUCCACAAUUAAUUAUUACACGUAAUACAACCAACACCACACUUUUGUUUAACACAUAAAUAUACAUCUAAUUUUUCUAUACCAUAUUACUGAAAUAUAAUAGGAUUCAAAAUCCACUCACAUCUAGUAAAUACUAAACUUUACUCCAAACCUCAACUCCUUAAUACUAAAUCCUAAACUUUAAACAUCACCUUUCUAUCUAAAUACUAAAUCCUAAACCCAAAUAUAAACCUUAAACCCAAUUAUCAAAAUCUGAAAAUAGUAUAUAAUAUUAUG
rnacentral:lncRNA from 1 species